AUUCCCAUUUUAGUACCACUUCUUCGUUCUACAGAUCUAGUGGCUAUGCUAAUGGGAUAAAGUAUUCUCUACUGUCAUCUGAAGGAAAAUGGUUAUGUUUCUUUUCCUAUAUGAAAUGUCAGUACAUAAACUU